rnacentral:sRNA from 1 species
AUGUGGUAGUGAGCUGAUCAUCCACUUUCUUCUAAAAUAAAGAAGAAAAUGGCCAGUAUUCAUCCUGUCCUUGUCUUUCCCCAUUCCUUGAUAACUCUCUUGUCUUUACUGGGAGGCUGGAGAGUCACAGUCUAGUAGAAGAAAGGUCUAUAGUAAAGAGAUGUGGCAUCUGAUGAAAAGGAAGACAAGAAGAUGCGGCAGCCCUACAGACUACUUCAGGAAGCCCAGGAAGAAGAUGGCAUGGAUUAGAAAAAUUUCAACUGUAGGUGCCUUUGCAACCUAUCCUGGGAGACCCUAAAACAUAUUUAGUUUUAGUGCCUAGAGAUUUUCACUCCUCUAACAUCUCUGGAUACAGUGUCCCUGGUCAACAUGAAGAAGUUACAGAAGAACACUUUCUGAUCCUGGCCCCUAAAGAAUUUACUUGUGCUAAGUAAUAAAAUUCCUAUUGAUC